GCAAGUUGAACGAAAAACCACUUCGGUGGUGGAAAGUAGCGCACGGGUGAGUAACACGUGGGAAUGUACACCAAGGUUGGGAACAACAGUUGGAAACGACUGCUAAUACCCUAUAAUGACUCCGGUCCAAAGAUUUUAUCGCCUUGGGAUCAGCCCGCGUCUGAUUAGCUAGUUGGUAGGGUAAAAGCCUACCAAGGCGACGAUCAGUAGCUGGUUUGAGAGGAUGAUC
rnacentral:rRNA from 1 species